rnacentral:rRNA from 1 species
UACGUAGGUGGCAAGCGUUGUCCGGAUUUACUGGGCGUAAAGAGCGCGCAGGCGGUCGUUCAAGUCGCGUGUGAAAGCCCCCGGCUCAACUGGGGAGGGUCACGCGAUACUGAUCGACUCGAAGGCAGGAGAGGGUAGUGGAAUUCCCGGUGUAGUGGUGAAAUGCGUAGAUAUCGGGAGGAACACCAGUGGCGAAAGCGGCGCGCUGGAUCCCUUCUGACGCUGAGGCGCGAAAGCCAGGGGAGCAAACGGG